rnacentral:rRNA from 1 species
CCAGGCGGCAGAUGGCGGGAGGGAAACACCCGGUUCCAUCCCGAACCCGGAAGUUAAGCCUCCCAGCGCCGAUGGUACUGGGCAGAAAUGCCCGGGAGAGUAGGUCGCCGCCUGGU